rnacentral:rRNA from 1 species
GAUGAGCGCUGGCGGCGUGCCUAAUACAUGCAAGUCGAGCGGUAAGGCUCCUUCGGGAGUACACGAGCGGCGGACGGCUGAGUAACACGUAGGAACGUACCCCAAAGUGAGGGAUAACUGCUCGAAAGAGUAGCUAAUACCGCAUGUGAUCCACGGAUUAAAGCUUUAUGUGCUUUGGGAACGGCCUGCGUUCGAUUAGCUUGUUGGCGGGGUAAAAGCCCACCAAGGCGACGAUCGAUAGCUGGUCUGAGAGGAUGAUCAGCCAGACUGGGACUGAGACACGGCCCAGACUCCUACGGGAGGCAGCAGUAGGGAAUUUUCCACAAUGGGCGAAAGCCUGAUGGAGCAACGCCGCGUGCAGGAUGAAGGCCUUCGGGUUGUAAACUGCUUUUAUUGGUGACGAUUAUGACGGUAACCAAUGAAUAAGGGUCUGCUAACUACGUGCCAGCAGCCGCCGCGG